rnacentral:rRNA from 1 species
AGAGUUUGAUCCUGGCUCAGGACGAACGCUGGCGGCGUGCUUAACACAUGCAAGUCGAACGGUGAAGGCGGAGCUUGCUCUGCUGGAUCAGUGGCGAACGGGUGAGUAACACGUGAGUAACCUGCCCCUCACUUCGGGAUAACCUCGGGAAAUCGUGGCUAAUACCGGAUACGAGGCACCUUCGCAUGGGGUGUGCCUGGAAAGAUUUAUCGGUGGGGGAUGGACUCGCGGCCUAUCAGCUUGUUGGUGGGGUAAUGGCCUACCAAGGCGACGACGGGUAGCCGGCCUGAGAGGGCGACCGGCCACACUGGGACUGAGACACGGCCCAGACUCCUACGGGAGGCAGCAGUGGGGAAUAUUGCACAAUGGGCGCAAGCCUGAUGCAGCAACGCCGCGUGAGGGACGACGGCCUUCGGGUUGUAAACCUCUUUUAGUAGGGAAGAAGCGAAAGUGACGGUACCUGCAGAAAAAGCACCGGCUAACUACGUGCCAGCAGCCGCGGUAAUUC